GAUGAACGCUGGCGGCGUGCCUAAUACAUGCAAGUCGAGCGAACAGACGAGGAGCUUGCUCCUCUGACGUUAGCGGCGGACGGGUGAGUAACACGUGGAUAACCUACCUAUAAGACUGGGAUAACUUCGGGAAACCGGAGCUAAUACCGGAUAAUAUAUUGUACCGCAUGGUUCAAUAGUGAAAGACGGUUUUGCUGUCACUUAUAGAUGGAUCCGCGUCGCAUUAGCUAGUUGGUAAGGUAACGGCUUACCAAGGCAACGAUGCGUAGCCGACCUGAGAGGGUGAUCGGCCACACUGGAACUGAGACACGGUCCAGACUCCUACGGGAGGCAGCAGUAGGGAAUCUUACGCAAUGGGCGAAAGCUUGACGGAGCAAAGCCGCGUGAGUGAUGAAGGUCUUCGGAUCGUAAAACUCUGUUAUUAGGGAAGAACAAAUGUGUAAGUAACUAUGCACGUCUUGACGGUACCUAAUCAGAAAGCCACGGCUAACUACGUG
rnacentral:rRNA from 1 species